UACGAAGGGGGCUAGCGUUGUUCGGAAUCACUGGCGUAAAGCGCACGUAGGCGGAUUUUAAGUCAGGGGUGAAAUCCCGAGGCUCAACCUCGGAACUGCCUUUGAUACUGGAGAUCUUGAGUCCGGAAGAGGUAAGUGGAACUGCGAGUGUAGAGGUGAAAUUCGUAGAUAUUCGCAAGAACACCAGUGGCGAAGGCGGCUUACUGGUCCGGAACUGACGCUGAGGUGCGAAAGCGUGGGGAGCAAACAGGG
rnacentral:rRNA from 1 species